AUGCGGUGGGAGGAGAUGUUCCCUGCUGCUGCCACAGCUCUAUCUCCCGCUGCUCUUUGGGAAGAGGUAUUAGAGAAUUUGUCCCUAAGCAGCAGUCUAAAGGAUCACUGGACUACUGUGAACAUCUGUACCUGGAGAAAGGUCAUUGCACGAGGCACCAUUUAUAACCGGCGCCAUCAGCACCCUACCUCUAGCAGCCAGCAUGAAGUUCCAGAGGUCUCCAGAUGA
rnacentral:lncRNA from 1 species